rnacentral:antisense_RNA from 1 species
AAUUACAAUAGUAUUUGAACUUAUAGGUUCAUCUAACGUGUAGAACGUUUCAGACUUUAGGGAAGAGUGAAACGAUUCUAUCAAGGCAUUAUCAGAAG